GAUGAACGCUGGCGGCGUGCCUAAUACAUGCAAGUCGAGCGAACAGACGAGGAGCUUGCUCCUCUGACGUUAGCGGCGGACGGGUGAUUAACACGUGGAUAACCUACCUAUAAGACUGGGAUAACUUCGGGAAACCGGAGCUAAUACCGGAUAAUAUAUUGAACCGCAUGGUUCAAUAGUGAAAGACGGUUUUGCUGUCACUUAUAGAUGGAUCCGCGCCGCAUUAGCUAGUUGGUAAGGUAACGGCUUACCAAGGCAACGAUGCGUAGCCGACCUGAGAGGGUGAUCGGCCACACUGGAACUGAGACACGGUCCAGACUCCUACGGGAGGCAGCAGUAGGGAAUCUUCCGCAAUGGGCGAAAGCCUGACGGAGCAACGCCGCGUGAGUGAUGAAGGUCUUCGGAUCGUAAAACUCUGUUAUUAGGGAAGAACAAAUGUGUAAGUAACUAUGCACGUCUUGACGGUACCUAAUCAGAAAGCAACGGCUAACUACGUG
rnacentral:rRNA from 1 species